AAUGAACGCUGGCGGCAGGCCUAACACAUGCAAGUCGAACGCCCCGCAAGGGGAGUGGCGCACGGGUGAGUAACGCGUGGGAAUAUGCCCUUCGGUUCGGAAUAACACAGGGAAACUUGUGCUAAUACCGGAUAAGAUCUACGGAUGAAAGAUUCAUCACCGAUGGAGUAGCCCGCGUAGGAUUAGCUAGUUGGUGAGGUAAUGGCUCACCAAGGCGACGAUCCUUAGCUGGUCUGAGAGGAUGAUCAGCCACACUGGGACUGAGACACGGCCCAGACUCCUACGGGAGGCAGCAGUGGGGAAUCUUGCGCAAUGGGCGAAAGCUUGACGCAGCCAUGCCGCGUGAAUGAUGAAGGUCUUAGGAUUGUAAAAUUCUUUCACCGGGGACGAUAAUGACGGUACCCGGAGAAGAAGCCCCGGCUAACUUCGUGCCAGCCGCCGCAGUAACAC
rnacentral:rRNA from 1 species